CACAAAGAAAAAGUCAGAGAGCGUUUUAUGGACUCUGAGAUUCGAGUCGACUCCCGCAGUACGCGAGUCGACUCCGAGACUGUGCGACCAUCGACAGACAGAAGACCAUGUUACUGCCUCUGAGAUUCGAGUCGACUCCCAGAUAGCUCGAGUCGACUCCAAGACAAGCUUCACGUCAAAAGGCAGAAGACCAACUUUCGGAAACUGAGAGCCGAGUCGACUCCAAGGAAGUUCGAGUCGACUCCAAGACUGGAUUAGACAGAGAAUCGGGAGUUCGGGCUCUGAGAUUCGAGUCGACUCCCAGGACAGUCGAGUCGACUCGAGUGGACAAAAUUCAAAUUUGGAUCCACGGACUACAGAGGAUGAG
rnacentral:lncRNA from 1 species